ensembl:lncRNA
CCAACGAGUAAAAGAGAGCAAGGAGGAUCUCCUGGCACAUUUGGCCCGGCGUGGAAGUGGCACACAUACAUUCCACCCUUGUUUUAUUGGCCAGAACCCAGUCCCAUGACCCCAACCUUACCUGGAGGGGGGUUGGGAAACGGGAUGUUCCUGUAUGCCCCAGAAGAGGAAUUGGGAUCGGUAAGCAUCUGGCCAGCUCUGCCACGGAUGGUGAUGGAUUCAAAGUUACAUCAGAGUUCAUAAUGUCACUCCGAAGGCACCUGCUGAGGAAUCUUGAAGGUGAAGGAUUUUUCUGAAGUCUCAAAGAAGCAAACAUUUUGAUGAGUGGAUGUCCAGUUGUUCCGGCGUCAUUCAUUGAGAAGACUAUGUUUGCUCCAUUGGAUUACCUUUGCUCCUUUGUCAAAGAUCAAUUGACUAUGUUUAUGUGGGCAUAUUUCUGGGUUAAUUUUGUAUUUUUUUCAUAAUAGUUAAUGAGUGCCUGCUUUAAACCAGGCACUGUCGUAAAUGCUGGAAAUAUAGGGGACAAGAAAAGAGAUGUCAUCCUUGCUCUUACGGAUUGUACAGUUAAUGGAUGGGAAAGGAUCAAAGAUAACUCCAGGUUUCUAGUUCACUCCAGAUUUCUGAUUUAGAUUAUGGGACAGGAAACCUAGAAGAAGCAGUAAGUUGAUGUGGAAAGAUGCUCCGUCUUGGGAAGUGUUGAGUUGGGCAUGUCUAUGGGAUAUCAUAAAAGAUGGCCAACAGGUACUUGGGUAUACAGAUGUGGAGCUAGAAGAGAAAAAUCUGACAUUGAGAUACAGAUUUUGGCACCAUCUGCAUGGAUAUGGUGGUAAAAACCGUGACUGUGUGUGAUUGCUAAAGGAAUGUGUACUGGAGUGGGAGAAGAGAAGAUGUUGCACAGCGGAACUCUGGGGAACUCCAGCAUUUGGAGGAAGAAGAAUGAAAAGUACUGCAUGGAAAUUUCAAAGGAGUGCAGAGAGGUAGAGGAGAACCAUGAGAGAGUUAUGUUGUGGAAGCCAAGUGUUAUGGACUGAAUUGUGUCUCCCCCAAACUCAUAUGUUGAGGCCCUAACCCCUAAUGUGACUGUAUUUAGAGAUAGAGACUUUAAGCAGAUAAUUAGGAUAAAUGAGGUCAUAAGUGUAGGACCCUACUCCAGUAGGACUGACAUCCUCAUAAGAAGAGGAAGAAAUACCAGGGGUCAAUCUCUCUCUCUCUACAUGCACAGAAAAAAGGCCACGUGUGGACAGAGUGAGAAGAUACCAUCUGCAAGCCAGGAAGAGAGGCCAAACCAGAAACCAACCCCUCCAGCACCUUGAUCUUUGAUGUCCAAGAUCAGAACUGUGAGAAAAUAAGUUUUUGUUGUUUAACCCACUCAGUCUGUUGUAUUUUUGUUAUGGCAGGCUGAGCUGACCAAUACACUAAGAGAGGAAAGCAUUUCAAGCACUGUUUAAGGAAAGGCAAAUAUCAAUAAAGAUAAGGGUAGACAUGUGAUUCUCUGAAUGUGGCAAUUCUGUGACCUUAGCAAGGGCAAGGAAGUGUCAAGGCUGGAAGUCAGACUGCAGUGGGCUUAUGGAUUGCAUGAGCAGGAGUUUCACGUGCAAGCAUGGCCUCCAGCUUGGAGUUUGGCAGCUCCUACCAUCUGUAUCUGUAAUCCCAGGUAAACUCCUUUGUGCAGACUUCCCCAGGGAC